UGCUCAGCACCCACUUAGCGCGGCUAUGAGCUUAAAAAUAUAGCUAUGACAAAUAGAGAUAAGCAAACACGAAGACAGAUCUUAAUGCUUUCGCUGCUUUGUUCAAGGACUGCGAUGCCAGAGACACUUGAGCUCUAGGACAUCUAAAUACAAGGACCCCUCCAAAUAACCCUACUAGACGAAGACAGGAAGCGACUAUAUUUGCUUUGUGGGCCGUUUACAUCAGCCAAGUUCAUCUGCUGGUUUCAUUAACCUGUGCACCCCAAGCUUUCCGUAGAAGCAGCAAUCUCCCUGAGAAGACCUGUCUGAUUAUUCUUGUGCUGGUAUGGAAUCUACAACAUUUCUCAACAUCACGAACCAAACUGAAGCUCCAAUGAACACAUCAAGUGUUUCUGGGGAUUUUGGGGAUUCAAUAAGUUGUUUCAUUGACCCUCAGCUAGCAUACAUCGUAGUUCUAUCAGCUGGCAGUCUCAUACUUGUCCUACUAAUAUCUGUCUUGGUGCUGGGAUAUAAGGUUGUUACUUUAAAACGACGUCCAAGCCGCAGCAAUGUGGAAUCGACUGGAUCGGGUCACUGGAGCACUGAACAAGCAGAGAAAGGCAUUGUAGGACCAUGCGAGACCAAUCUCCUUCUAGAGGACGUCCGGACCGAUGCAGACGAUGCAGAGGUGCAGGAAGAAGAGGAGGCCAUGUUGCAUCAAAGCAACACAGAAUACAAGGAUGAGGAAAAUGUCCUGCCCAUCAUACAGGGCUCAACAUCCAGAGAUUCCUGCAUAGAUUCUGCUAAGGAACUGGAAAACAUGCCUUUGGUGGUGUGAGUUUAUGCAUGUGUUCUUACUCAGUGUUAAAUGAUAACCCACAGACACCAUCUUAAAGAUGCACUCCAUGAUUUAAUCAAAUGGCUUGUUUUUUGUUGUUGGCCAUUUUUUUUCCUUCUACCUGUGUUCCUUUCUCUCUUGCAUUAUUUUAUUUAAUUUAAACCUAGAAUUUUUAUGUCUGCUGGAUAUGAGGUAAGAGAAGGUAAUUAACAAGAUGAGAAAAAAAACUAACCAUUCACUAGACUUUUAGAACAUUUAAAUACAAAAAAACUUUUUAUGCGAUUCCUGCAGAUUUACCUAAAAUAUUAAUAGUGUUUGUCUCAGAUAAUAUAGUGGCUUUAAAAAAAAA